GCAUCUCAUACAUGCGCCAAGAAGACAACAUAUAUAAUAACAGAGUGUAUAGAGAUAAAUGUCAUAAAUCAUCAGAGUAUUUAUUACAUAGCGGAAGACUUAUUACAAAAUAAGAGAUAAAUAUAAAAUGAACUAAGGAUCGUCGGCGCCAAUGUCGACUGAGAAACGCCACCUAGAUCAGAUCAUACUCCUCGCCUUGUGGCUCCUCCUGAACCACCUGCUCUUCUCCUGUGGGGGGGGUGUGAGACAGCAAGAGUGAGCUCACAUACGUUCAUCGCUCAACAAGUCGUGGGGAAUAAUGUGGCAUGAACUCACCAAAGGUGGGAGUUCAUGAAGUGUAAGGCUGAUCAAUGAAAUAAAGGCUGAAGCUGAGCAUUGCUUUUAUAAGUUGGUCAAAAUUUUAUUAGCAGUUACUAAGUGCAAGUAAAUACCAAACCUUAAUAAAAGUAAUAGAACAAAAUUAAUAAAGAAUCCCAUGCAAAUGCAAAUGACAAAUUGACUUUAGGUUCCAUAAAUUAAUCAUGUGAGGGUCCGAGCCGCUCAUGACCGUGAGCACGGCUAGUAUACUAGUUUUACACUCUGCAGAGGUUGCGCAUCUUUACCCACAAGUCAUGUUACCCAUCUGCCAAGAGAUGGCCAAUCCCAUACACCUCUACCGAGGAGGCGAGGCAGGGUAACACUACGAGGCCUUUACAAAGUUCCACUAGCUUCAGACUACCCGCUACAGUUUAUAGGAAGUUCCAAUGCAGGGUUCCUGGCUGACCGCCAUCGCAGCAAAAUCAACCAGGGACCUCCCUACACUGACCACUCCCCUACUGCCCUUGCCCCUUUCGGGUAAGGUAGCCCUCCACUAGCUUUCCUAGUUAAUCAGCCAAGGGCGUCCCAUUAAACCCUUGUGGUAGCACUGUUUUCCCGGGUGGUCGCUCCAUGUUCCCAUUAAUUUAAUGAUCUUAACAUGAAUAGUAACAAUAACAAGAUAAUAACAGAAUAAUCAUGAAUAGUGUAUCUCCAUACCCAAUCCACAUAAAGCAAUAGCAAGUACUGCCCAAAAAUAUUUCAGGGGUGAACAAGGUAUAGAGGUAAUCAAAACUGGGGUAACAUAAAGGAUCCCAUCAAAAUUAACCUAUGCAGAUCAUUAAAAUUAAUAAGAACAUGGCUGGGAAAAGUAAGUGAUCAAGGGCACAACUUGCCUGGCACUUGAGAUUUCAGGUACCAACUUGCUUUUCAAAUGACACGUGUCCUCGCGCUAGUCGUAACAAUACAAACAAACAUGGUAUAGAUAAAAUUAACAUCACACCAAACAUAAUAAUAUACUGCAUAAUAAUGAUCUAUGUGUUGCUACGAGACUAACGCAACUUGAACGGAUUAAAUCGGAGUUAAAACGGAGGAGUUAUGAAUUUGCUAGGGUUUUAUGUAUUUGAUACAUGAUUAAUUAUGAGAUCAAUUUUAAUGUGGUUUUCAUGUCAAAACAGAGAUACUAGGUGAUAAAAAAACAUUAUUACAAAAUUAUAGAAACUGGAAUGGAUAAAUUUGGACUAAAUAUGGAUUUUCUAUGGAAUAAACAAGUUUCUAUCAAUUAUUUAUACACUAAAAAUCUAUUUCUACUUUAUUUUCUCUGAUUUUACAAUGCUCUGGACUGGGCCUCAAUAACAGGGAAAUCUGGGGUUGCAGGGUAAAAUUUCCUAAGACCUAGGCAACAGUCGCCGAGGACGGCGGGUUGUUUAUUAACAUCGUCAGGGGCUCAUACGCAAAAUUCAUAUGUCGAAGCGGUAUCGACCGAUCGCGGCCGCACGAUCUAUGGUGGGCGGUAUGGAUUAGAUCCGUAGACAUCAGAACCUGUAAUUCUACGUGAACCCUCGGAUUACCGAUCAAGGGCCAGAAUCCGCCCACGACAACCCCCAAUCCGACCCGUUGGAUUUGUGAGUAACGACACUUAUCUAACCGCGUGAGAAGGUACCCGGUCGUCAAUCCUAACCAUCCGUUACGCCAUCGACGACUUAGUUUCUAUCGUCUACCUCCAGGUGAACCGCGACAGCGCUGACUGCGCACGGCGGUGACCGCGCCGGCGAGAGGGCGCAAAACGUUCCUGGCGGCCCAAGAUCCCCAAUCGAUUACUCCAAUUUGGACCAGAGAAAAAUAGCUAGCAUGGGGGGCAUUCAAUCGGAGGUUUGAAGCGACGGAGGUGGUCAGCCCACGAGCCGCGGCGGCACUGCGGCCAACAACCACACCGGCGACGAAUUCUAAGGGCACUGGUGAUCUAUCGCUUAGCCCAAUCGGCGCUAUACCUCGGGUAAGUGAAAUCAAAACAGGGAACGUGGCACAUACCAACAAUUUCGCGAUGCCGACUCGAGCCAGGGUGUGAUGCGGCGUGGUUGUGGGAUGAGAGCAUGAUUCGGUGAGCAAUCGACGGCACUCCAAUUUGCCCCCCCUAAGUUUGACAACACUGAGCUCCCGCGCGCACGGUGAACUGACGAGGCGCGAGCCCAGCCACACUCGUUCGGUCGCCAAGGAUAAGCAGCAGGGACUACGGGUGCCGAGCGCCAUGGCAGCGGCGCGGCUGGGUUCAUGGCGGCGGAGGUUAGGGUUCUAAGGAAAGAAAGAAAGGGCACCAGGCGCGCAGCUUUAAAGUCCGGUCAGGUCGGAUGCUACUGGCCACCUGGCAUCGCGCGGCAACGAGGUCUUUCGCGAGAUCUCCGGUAAACGGAAAUGGCGGCCACAACGCGAUUGUCGACAGGGUUCUGUUACGAGGAGGAGAUAGAGCUGACCAACGGGGCCCACAGGUCAGCCACCAGGCACGCGCGCGUGAAUGAGAGCGCGGCGCCAAGCACGCGACCGAGAGGCAGAGGUGUGGGCCAGUAUUUGUCAGCGACAAAAAGGCUAGCGCUGGCAAGUGCUGGGCCGCGCUGGUGGGGUGUAGAUUGGGUUGUGGUCUGCUUUUAGGCCCAUGUAGUUGGUCUUUGCUCUUUUUUUUCCAGAUUUGGCUCAAAUCAAAUUCAACCAAAUUCAAAUUUGAGUUCCCACAAACAAAAGAAAUGCAACAACCUGAAAUAGUUAUAUAUUUAUAUAUCACUUUAGACAGAAAACCUUUCUAUUACUCCUUUUCUAAAUUCAUUCUUGGUUUCGAGAUUCAGUCCUCAAAAUUCAAAGCUCAAGUAUAAUCACGAGAUAUUUGAAUUUACUGUUUAUUUUAUUAUUUAUUUAUUUUUCUACCAAUUUUGGGCUUUACAAAUCCUACCCCCCUUAAAAAGAAUCUCGUCCUCGAGAUUUAGGAGGAACGAGGGAAAAGAUGGGGAAAAUCUAUGCGAAGCUCUUCUUUUCUCUCCCAAGUAGCUUCAUCUUCUCCAUGAUGGCUCCAUUGCACUUUGCACAUUUUUAUCACCUUAUUUCUUGUAACAUGAGUCAAUGUAUCAAGAAUCUUGAUGGGAUACUCCGUGUAAGUCAAAUCACCCUGAACGUUAAGCUCUUCCAUUGGUAACUGUUCCUCAGGUAUACGGAGACACUUCUUAAGUUGAGACGCAUGGAAUAAAUUAUGCAGAUCGGAUAGAUUAUCAGUUAGCUCGAGUUGAUAGGCCAUCUCUCCAACUUGCCUAAAAAACUCAGAAUGAUCCAAUAAAGUGAGAGGACAAUUUACUCUUGACUUUAAAACUCCUCAUUCCACGAAGUGGUGACACCUUGAGGUACACAUGAUCACCUUCCUCAAACUCCAGUAGUCUCCUUCUAUUAUCAACAUAGCUCUUUUGCCUUGAUUGUGCAAUUCUCAAAUUUUCUCUUAUCAUUCGAACUUGUUCUUCCGCCUCUUGAAUAAGCUCAGGCCCAAAGAAUUGUCUUCCUCUAGUCUGAUCCCAAUAUAGAGGAGUCCUGCACUUCCUGCCAUAUAGAGUCUCGAAUAGCGACAUCUUUAGAUUGGCCUGGUAACUAUUAUUAUAUGAGAACUCAGCAUAAGGUAGACUCUUGUCCCAACUACUACCAUGCUGAAGGGCACAAGUUCUCAACAUGUCUUCCAAUACUUGAUUAGUCCUUUCAGUAUGUCCAUCAGUCUGAGGAUGGUAGGCCAAACUAAAAUUCAACUUUGUAUCCAUAUUCUCAUGCAAACUUUUCCAAAAUCUGGAGGUAAAUUGUGAUCCUCUAUCUGAAGUGAUCUUCUUUGGUACACCGUGUCGAGACACAAUCCGAGCCAUAUAUAACUCUACCAAUUGAAAUCCCUUAUAAGUAGUCUUGACAGGAAUGAAAUGAGCCACUUUGGUCAAUCUAUCCAUAAUGACCCAUAUAGAAUCAUAUCUUUUCGAGGUGCGAGACAAUCUGGUAAUGAAGACCUUACCAAUCUCUUUCCACUUCCACUCGGGUAUCUUUAGUGGGUGUAAUAGUCCAGCUAGUCUUUGGUGUUCAGCCUUAACUCUUUGACACACGUCGCACAUAGCCACAUGUGCAGCCACAUCUCUCUUCAAUCCAUACCACCAGUAUUUCUGCUUCAAAUCCUGAUACAUCUUGGUACUACCAGGAUGAAUAGAAUAAUCCGAGUCAUGGGCUUCCUUUAGUAUAGUCUCACGAAGGCUAUCAAUCUCACAAACACAUAUCCUGUCCUUGAACCAUACGGUGCUUUGCUCAUCUUCCGUGAAUUCCGGACCUCGACCUUCAGUAAUCAGAUCCUUAAUCUCUUGUAUUUUAGCAUCACCAAUUUGUCCUUUGCGGAUCUCUUGCUCCAAAAUAGGUUCCACAUCAAUAGUAACUCCUUCAGUGUGAGCAACUAUCCCCAGGUUAAGUCUCCUGAAAUCUUCAACAAUCUCAUCGGGUAGCUGGGCAACAACAGCUGAAUAAACAUGCUCCUUUCGAUUCAAGGCAUCUGUAACCAAAUUUGCCUUGCCCGGGUGAUAGUGAAUCUCCAAAUCAUAAUCCUUAAUAAGCUCCAACCAAUGACGUUGCCUAAGGUUGAGAUCCUUUUGAGUGAAUAUAUACUUCAAACUCUUAUGAUUCGUGUAUACUUGGCACUUAGAUUCCAUGAUGUAGUGUCUCCAAAUCUUAAGUGCAUGCACAACGUCAGCCAGCUCCAAGUCAUGAGUGAGGUAAUUCAAUUCAUGCUUCCGCAACUGACGAGAUGCAUAGGCAAUCACAUGUCCUUCUUGCAUGAGCACACAUCCAAGUCCUUGGCCACAUGCAUCACAAUAAAUGUCAAAUCCCUUCUGUAGAUCUGGCAUAACCAAUACUGGUGGUGACAUUAGUCUCUCCUUCAAUUGCUCAAAGCUUUCUUGGCACUUCUCAUCCCACUUGAAUUCUCUUCCUUUCUCUAAAAGCGAUGUCAUAGGCUUAGCAAUCUUAGAAAAUCCUUCAAUAAAUCUCCGAUAAUAUCCUGCUAGUCCCAAGAAACUCCGAAUCUCCGUAACUGUAGUGGGUACUCUCCACUCCAUUAUCUCCUUAACCUUAGCAGGAUCCAUUGAUAUUCCUCCAUUAGAAAUGAUAUGUCCAAGAAAGGGCACCUUGCCAAUCCAAAACUCGCAUUUGCUAUACUUAGCAUAGAGUUGAUUAUCUCGUAGCUUCUGUAGCACCAAUCUCAGAUGUUCCUCAUGAUCACUUUCACUCUUAAAAUAGAUAAGAAUAUCGUCGAUAAAUACUACGACGAAACUGUCCAAAUACUCCAUAAACACCUUAUUCAUCAAAUCCAUAAAAUAAGCUGGUGCAUUAGCUAAUCCAAACGACAUAACAAAGAACUCAUAUAAUCCAUAUCGGGUCGAGAAAGAUGUCUUGGGAAUAUCCGAUGGCCUAAUCUUCAUUUGAUGAUAACCCGAUCGAAGAUCAAUCUUCGAGAAUACCCUUGCACCUCUCAUCUGAAUAAAUCCUCAAUGCGGGGUAAUGGACUCUUGUUCUUCACAGUGACAUCGUUAAGGGACCUAUAAUCCAGGUACACCCCUUGUGAUCCUUCUUUCUUCUGUACAAUUAGAAUCGGCGCUCCACAAGGUGAGGAACUCGGACGAAUGUACCCAACCUCUUGUAAUUCUGUUAACUGCUUCUUCAGUCCCUUUAAUUCUUCUACAGACAUCCUGUAUGGCCGUUUGAAAUUAGGGCAGUCCUAAGUAAGGGAUCAAUGACAAACUCAACUUCCCUAUAUGGUGGCAUCCCUGGUGACUCCUCUAGAAAGACAUCCGGAAAAUCCUUAACCACACGGAUGUUGUCACCAACAAACUUCUCAUCGACUAAGAAUGCCACUAGUCUGAUGGUGGUAGUUACUGCAAUUUCAACUUCAAAUCUCUCUCCUUUGGAACUGGUGAGUUCUAAGGUUCCCUUAGCCCAGUGUAUAAACUGUCUUUGCCUUUCUUAACCAUGACAUACCAAGUAUCAUGUCUAUAGUGCUCUCUUCUAACACUAUAGGGGUAGCCCAUCUGGGUUAGAAAUACAGGGUAAGGAAAGGGAGAAUUGUAGACAAGGCGAGUAAUUACGAGAAAUGUUACUGCGGGGGAUUUAUUAGCUAAGUAGAUUAGUGUGACACCCACUAAAGCUAAUACAUUACCUUAUAGUGGUACAUGCCAAGAUGCCCGACUAUAAUGUUUCAAUCAAUCAAAGAAGCAAAUCAAGCAUUUAUCAUCAGGACAAUCAAUCAACAUUUUUAAAUAGAGAAAAUAGUUUUAAUUUCGUCUUAGGUUCCCUAUCUCUGAAAAAGUUCAUAGUUGUAGGAUUCCAAAGUGUGAAAUCCAUCCUGUCUUGAAGUAGAAAAGAUAAGAAUAAUCAGAGUAGAACAGCAAAAGGUGAGACAUGAUCAAGAUGAGAUAAGUAUAGAAUGAAUCAGAGUAAGGUAAGUAGAUAAGGGUUUUGUCCAUUUCUAUCUAGGUUUCGUCCUACAGUCAACAUUCCUCUGAUACCACUUCUGUAACACCCGGUUUUAAAGGACAAAGCCGAGUGCAUCUCAUACAUGCGCCAAGAAGACAACAUAUAUAAUAACAGAGUGUAUAGAGAUAAAUGUCAUAAAUCAUCAGAGUAUUUAUUACAUAGCGGAAGACUUAUUACAAAAUAAGAGAUAAAUAUAAAAUGAACUAAGGAUCGUCGGCGCCAAUGUCGACUGAGAAACGCCACCUAGAUCAGAUCAUACUCCUCGCCUUGUGGCUCCUCCUGAACCACCUGCUCUUCUCCUGUGGGGGGUGUGAGACAGCAAGAGUGAGCUCACAUACGUUCAUCGCUCAACAAGUCGUGGGGAAUAAUGUGGCAUGAACUCACCAAAGGUGGGAGUUCAUGAAGUGUAAGGCUGAUCAAUGAAAUAAAGGCUGAAGCUGAGCAUUGCUUUUAUAAGUUGGUCAAAAUUUUAUUAGCAGUUACUAAGUGCAAGUAAAUACCAAACCUUAAUAAAAGUAAUAGAACAAAAUUAAUAAAGAAUCCCAUGCAAAUGCAAAUGACAAAUUGACUUUAGGUUCCAUAAAUUAAUCAUGUGAGGGUCCGAGCCGCUCAUGACCGUGAGCACGGCUAGUAUACUAGUUUUACACUCUACAGAGGUUGCGCAUCUUUACCCACAAGUCAUGUUACCCAUCUGCCAAGAGAUGGCCAAUCCCAUACACCUCUACCGAGGAGGCGAGGCAGGGUAACACUACGAGGCCUUUACAAAGUUCCACUAGCUUCAGACUACCCGCUACAGUUUAUAGGAAGUUCCAAUGCAGGGUUCCUGGCUGACCGCCAUCGCAGCAAAAUCAACCAGGGACCUCCCUACACUGACCACUCCCCUACUGCCCUUGCCCCUUUCGGGUAAGGUAGCCCUCCACUAGCUUUCCUAGUUAAUCAGCCAAGGGCGUCCCAUUAAACCCUUGUGGUAGCACUGUUUUCUCGGGUGGUCGCUCCAUGUUCCCAUUAAUUUAAUGAUCUUAACAUGAAUAGUAACAAUAACAAGAUAAUAACAGAAUAAUCAUGAAUAGUGUAUCUCCAUACCCAAUCCACAUAAAGCAAUAGCAAGUACUACCCAAAAAUAUUUCAGGGGUGAACAAGGUAUAGAGGUAAUCAAAACUGGGGUAACAUAAAGGAUCCCAUCAAAAUUAACCUAUGCAGAUCAUUAAAAUUAAUAAGAACAUGGCUGGGAAAAGUAAGUGAUCAAGGGCACAACUUGCCUGGCACUUGAGAUUUCAGGUACCAACUUGCUUUUCAAAUGACACGUGUCCUCGCGCUAGUCGUAACAAUACAAACAAACAUGGUAUAGAUAAAAUUAACAUCACACCAAACAUAAUAAUAUGCUGCAUAAUAAUGAUCUAUGUGUUGCUACGAGACUAACGCAACUUGAACGGAUUAAAUCGGAGUUAAAACGGAGGAGUUAUGAAUUUGCUAGGGUUUUAUGUAUUUGAUACAUGAUUAAUUAUGAGAUCAAUUUUAAUGUGGUUUUCAUGUCAAAACAGAGAUACUAGGUGAUAAAAAAACAUUAUUACAAAAUUAUAGAAACUGGAAUGGAUAAAUUUGGACUAAAUAUGGAUUUUCUAUGGAAUAAACAAGUUUCUAUCAAUUAUUUAUACACUAAAAAUCUAUUUCUACUUUAUUUUCUCUGAUUUUACAAUGCUCUGGACUGGGCCUCAAUAACAGGGAAAUCUGGGGUUGCAGGGUAAAAUUUCCUAAGACCUAGGCAACAGUCGCCGAGGACGGCGGGUUGUUUAUUAACAUCGUCAGGGGCUCAUACGCAAAAUUCAUAUGUCGAAGCGGUAUCGACCGAUCGCGGCCGCACGAUCUAUGGUGGGCGGUAUGGAUUAGAUCCGUAGACAUCAGAACCUGUAAUUCUACGUGAACCCUUGGAUUACCGAUCAAGGGCCAGAAUCCGCCCACGACAACCCCCAAUCCGACCCGUUGGAUUUGUGAGUAACGACACUUAUCUAACCGCGUGAGAAGGUACCCGGUCGUCAAUCCUAACCAUCCGUUACGCCAUCGACGACUUAGUUUCUAUCGUCUACCUCCAGGUGAACCGCGACAGCGCUGACUGCGCACGGCGGUGACCGCGCCGGCGAGAGGGCGCAAAACGUUCCUGGCGGCCCAAGAUCCCCAAUCGAUUACUCCAAUUUGGACCAGAGAAAAAUAGCUAGCAUGGGGGGCAUUCAAUCGGAGGUUUGAAGCGACGGAGGUGGUCAGCCCAUGAGCCGCGGCGGCACUGCGGCCAACAACCACACCGGCGACGAAUUCUAAGGGCACUGGUGAUCUAUCGCUUAGCCCAAUCGGCGCUAUACCUCGGGUAAGUGAAAUCAAAACAGGGAACGUGGCACAUACCAACAAUUUCGCGAUGCCGACUCGAGCCAGGGUGUGAUGCAGCGUGGUUGUGGGAUGAGAGCAUGAUUCGGUGAGCAAUCGACGGCACUCCAAUUUGCCCCCCCUAAGUUUGACAACACUGAGCUCCCGCGCGCACGGUGAACUGACGAGGCGCGAGCCCAGCCACACUCGUUCGGUCGCCAAGGAUAAGCAGCAGGGACUACGGGUGCCGAGCGCCAUGGCAGCGGCGCGGCUGGGUUCAUGGCGGCGAAGGUUAGGGUUCUAAGGAAAGAAAGAAAGGGCACCAGGCGCGCAGCUUUAAAGUCCGGUCAGGUCGGAUGCUACUGGCC
rnacentral:lncRNA from 1 species